GACGAACGCUGGCGGCGUGCUUAACACAUGCAAGUCGAACGGAAAGGCCCUGCUUUUGUGGGGUGCUCGAGUGGCGAACGGGUGAGUAACACGUGAGUAACCUGCCCUUGACUUUGGGAUAACUUCAGGAAACUGGGGCUAAUACCGGAUAGGAUCUCCUGCUGCAUGGUGGGGGUUGGAAAGUUUCGGCGGUUGGGGAUGGACUCGCGGCUUAUCAGCUUGUUGGUGGGGUAGUGGCUUACCAAGGCUUUGACGGGUAGCCGGCAUGAGAGGGUGGCCGGCCACAUUGGGACUGAGAUACGGCCCAGACUCCUACGGGAGGCAGCAGGGGGGAAUAUUGCACAAUGGGCGGAAGCCUGAUGCAGAAACGCCGCGUGCGGGAUGACGGCCUUCGGGUUGUAAACCGCUUUCGCCUGUGACGAAGCGUGAGUGACGGUAAUGGGUAAAGAAGCACCGGCUAACUACGUG
rnacentral:rRNA from 1 species